rnacentral:rRNA from 1 species
AACGAACGCUGGCGGCAUGCCUAACACAUGCAAGUCGAACGAGACCUUCGGGUCUAGUGGCGCACGGGUGCGUAACGCGUGGGAACCUGCCCUUAGGUUCGGAAUAACUCCCCGAAAGGGGUGCUAAUACCGGAUAAUGUCUUCGGACCAAAGAUUUAUCGCCUUUGGAUGGGCCCGCGUUGGAUUAGCUAGUUGGUAGGGUAAAAGCCUACCAAGGCGACGAUCCAUAGCUGGUCUGAGAGGAUGAUCAGCCACACUGGGACUGAGACACGGCCCAGACUCCUACGGGAGGCAGCAGUGGGGAAUAUUGGACAAUGGGCGAAAGCCUGAUCCAGCAAUGCCGCGUGAGUGAUGAAGACCUUAGGGUAGUAAAGCUCUUUUACCCGGGAUGAUAAUGACAGUACCGGGAGAAUAAGCUCCGGCUAACUCCGUG